GGGGUUGUUGCUCAGUGGUAGAGCACUUGCCUAGCAUGCAUGAGGCACUGGGUUCAAUCCCCAACACCA
rnacentral:tRNA from 1 species